UGGUCAUUAUUUAUUUGGUUAGAGUGUCGUGCUAAUAACGCGAAGGUAGCAGGUUUGACACCUGCAUGGCCCA
rfam:Helianthus annuus linkage group 2, whole genome shotgun sequence.